GACUAUAGAUGCCACCCAAAAUUGAUCGCCGUGUGUGUAAUUUUCCAAUGAUCGUGUCCAACUGAAAACAACUAUGUGUGCAACUAGAACUACUAUAGAUGCCAACAAAAAAUGAUUGCCAUGUGUGCAAUUUUUCAAUAAUAGGAUCCAACUGAGAACAACUGUAUGUGCAACUACAACUACUAUAGUAAUGAUCGUCUCUGACGAAAACAACUAUGUGUGCAACAAGAAUUACUAUAAAUGCCAAAAAUGAUCGCCAUGUGUAUUCAGUUCAAUGUAUUCCGUUCCACUUUCACCGCCGUAGGAAAAAGGUUUAGUGUUGUGCAACUUUCUAAUUGUCGUAUCCAACCAAGAACUGCUAUGUGUACAACUACAACCACUACGGAUGCCAACUAAGAAUGUGAAGAUCAAUAUAUCUGAAAAAGUGAUACAUACAAUCAGUAGAAACAGAGGGCAAAAAUACAAAGGAACGAAACAGAUAAAAUUGUUGCUUACGAAUCAAGUGCUGCUUCUUCUGCUUCUACACGGAGAUAUAUUGGCUGUGAGUAUCGAGCAACUGCUUUGCUUUGCAUGCUAUAACCCCCGAAGGGCAUCCUCGUCGUUCAAUAGCCGUUGGCCGUCGUUGUUGCAACAGCAGUCACAUCGCGGGCGCGCGAUAGUUGGUGUUGAGUUCAGUGAGGAUGCAGGCCGAGAGCCACGCAGGUCGCCGCCGGCGAGCACCUUAACCCCACACGG
rnacentral:lncRNA from 1 species